rnacentral:misc_RNA from 1 species
UCCGGUUUGACACCGGCAGUCUCCCUAGAGUCCCCAACUUAAUGAUGGUAACUAAGGACAGGGGUUGCGCUCGUUUUUGGACUUAACCAGACAUCUUACGACACGAGCUGACGACAGCCAUGCAGCACCUAUCUCCAUGUCCCCGAAGGGAACGCCACAUCUCUGUGGUUGUCACGGGAUGUUAAGGGUAGGUAAGGUUCUGCGCGUUGCUUCGAAUUAAACCACAUACUCCACCGCUUGUGCGGGCCCCCGUCAAUUCCUUUGAGUUUUAGCCUUGCGACCGUACUCCCCAGGCGGGAUACUUAAUGCGUUAGCUUUAGUACUCAGGGGGUUAACUCCCCAAACACUUAGUAUCCAUAGUUUACGGCGUGGACUAC